rnacentral:rRNA from 1 species
UUAAGCGACUAAGCGUACACGGUGGAUGCCCUGGCAGUCAGAGGCGAUGAAGGACGUGCUAAUCUGCGAUAAGCGUCGGUGAGGUGAUAUGAACCGUUAUAACCGGCGAUUUCCGAAUGGGGAAACCCAGUGUGUUUCGACACACUAUCAUUAACUGAAUCCAUAGGUUAAUGAGGGCGAACCGGGGAACUGAAACAUCUAAGUACCCCGAGGAAAAGAAAUCAACCGAGAUUCCCCCCAGUAGCGGCGAGCGAACGGGGAGGAGCCCAGAGCCUGAAUCAGUGUGUGUGUUAGUGGAAGCGUCUGGAAAGGCGCGCGAUACAGGGUGACAGCCCCGUACACAAAAAUGCACAUAUUGUGAGCUCGAUGAGUAGGGCGGGACACGUGGUAUCCUGUCUGAAUAUGGGGGACCAUCCUCCAAGGCUAAAUACUCCCUGACUGACCGAUAGUGAACCAGUACCGUGAGGGAAAGGCGAAAAGAACCCCGGCGAGGGGAGUGAAAAAGAACCUGAAACCGUGUACGUACAAGCAGUGGGAGCCUCUUUAUGGGGUGACUGCGUACCUUUUGUAUAAUGGGUCAGCGACUUAUAUUCUGUAGCAAGGUUAACCGAAUAGGGGAGCCGAAGGGAAACCGAGUCUUAACUGGGCGUUAAGUUGCAGGGUAUAGACCCGAAACCCGGUGAUCUAGCCAUGGGCAGGUUGAAGGUUGGGUAACACUAACUGGAGGACCGAACCGACUAAUGUUGAAAAAUUAGCGGAUGACUUGUGGCUGGGGGUGAAAGGCCAAUCAAACCGGGAGAUAGCUGGUUCUCCCCGAAAGCUAUUUAGGUAGCGCCUCGUGAAUUCAUCUCCGGGGGUAGAGCACUGUUUCGGCAAGGGGGUCAUCCCGACUUACCAACCCGAUGCAAACUGCGAAUACCGGAGAAUGUUAUCACGGGAGACACACGGCGGGUGCUAACGUCCGUCGUGAAGAGGGAAACAACCCAGACCGCCAGCUAAGGUCCCAAAGUCAUGGUUAAGUGGGAAACGAUGUGGGAAGGCCCAGACAGCCAGGAUGUUGGCUUAGAAGCAGCCAUCAUUUAAAGAAAGCGUAAUAGCUCACUGGUCGAGUCGGCCUGCGCGGAAGAUGUAACGGGGCUAAACCAUGCACCGAAGCUGCGGCAGCGACACUAUGUGUUGUUGGGUAGGGGAGCGUUCUGUAAGCCUGUGAAGGUGGCCUGUGAGGGUUGCUGGAGGUAUCAGAAGUGCGAAUGCUGACAUAAGUAACGAUAAAGCGGGUGAAAAGCCCGCUCGCCGGAAGACCAAGGGUUCCUGUCCAACGUUAAUCGGGGCAGGGUGAGUCGACCCCUAAGGCGAGGCCGAAAGGCGUAGUCGAUGGGAAACAGGUUAAUAUUCCUGUACUUGGUGUUACUGCGAAGGGGGGACGGAGAAGGCUAUGUUGGCCGGGCGACGGUUGUCCCGGUUUAAGCGUGUAGGCUGGUUUUCCAGGCAAAUCCGGAAAACCAAGGCUGAGGCGUGAUGACGAGGCACUACGGUGCUGAAGCGACAAAUGCCCUGCUUCCAGGAAAAGCCUCUAAGCAUCAGGUAACAUCAAAUCGUACCCCAAACCGACACAGGUGGUCAGGUAGAGAAUACCAAGGCGCUUGAGAGAACUCGGGUGAAGGAACUAGGCAAAAUGGUGCCGUAACUUCGGGAGAAGGCACGCUGAUAUGUAGGUGAAGCGACUUGCUCGUGGAGCUGAAAUCAGUCGAAGAUACCAGCUGGCUGCAACUGUUUAUUAAAAACACAGCACUGUGCAAACACGAAAGUGGACGUAUACGGUGUGACGCCUGCCCGGUGCCGGAAGGUUAAUUGAUGGGGUUAGCGGUAACGCGAAGCUCUUGAUCGAAGCCCCGGUAAACGGCGGCCGUAACUAUAACGGUCCUAAGGUAGCGAAAUUCCUUGUCGGGUAAGUUCCGACCUGCACGAAUGGCGUAAUGAUGGCCGGGGCUGUCUCCACCCGAGACUCAGUGAAAUUGAACUCGCUGUGAAGAUGCAGUGUACCCGCGGCAAGACGGAAAGACCCCGUGAACCUUUACUAUAGCUUGACACUGAACAUUGAGCCUUGAUGUGUAGGAUAGGUGGGAGGCUUUGAAGUGUGGACGCCAGUCUGCAUGGAGCCGACCUUGAAAUACCACCCUUUAAUGUUUGAUGUUCUAACGUUGGCCCGUAAUCCGGGUUGCGGACAGUGUCUGGUGGGUAGUUUGACUGGGGCGGUCUCCUCCUAAAGAGUAACGGAGGAGCACGAAGGUUGGCUAAUCCCCGGUCGGACAUCAGGAGGUUAGUGCAAUGGCAUAAGCCAGCUUGACUGCGAGCGUGACGGCGCGAGCAGGUGCGAAAGCAGGUCAUAGUGAUCCGGUGGUUCUGAAUGGAAGGGCCAUCGCUCAACGGAUAAAAGGUACUCCGGGGAUAACAGGCUGAUACCGCCCAAGAGUUCAUAUCGACGGCGGUGUUUGGCACCUCGAUGUCGGCUCAUCACAUCCUGGGGCUGAAGUAGGUCCCAAGGGUAUGGCUGUUCGCCAUUUAAAGUGGUACGCGAGCUGGGUUUAGAACGUCGUGAGACAGUUCGGUCCCUAUCUGCCGUGGGCGCUGGAGAACUGAGGGGGGCUGCUCCUAGUACGAGAGGACCGGAGUGGACGCAUCACUGGUGUUCGGGUUGUCAUGCCAAUGGCACUGCCCGGUAGCUAAAUGCGGAAGAGAUAAGUGCUGAAAGCAUCUAAGCACGAAACUUGCCCCGAGAUGAGUUCUCCCUGACUCCUUGAGAGUCCUGAAGGAACGUUGAAGACGACGACGUUGAUAGGCCGGGUGUGUAAGCGCAGCGAUGCGUUGAGCUAACCGGUACUAAUGAACCGUGAGGCUUAACCUU